GAUGAACGCUGGCGGCGUGCUUAACACAUGCAAGUCGAACGAAGCUGUUCUUUGGAGACCUUCGGGUGGAAGAAUGACAGACUGAGUGGCGGACGGGUGAGUAACGCGUGGGUAACCUACCUUGCACAGGGGGACAACAGUUGGAAACGACUGCUAAUACCGCAUAAGACCACAGUACCGCAUGGUACGGGGGUAAAAACUGAGGUGGUGCAAGAUGGACCCGCGUCUGAUUAGCUAGUUGGUGGGGUAAAGGCCUACCAAGGCGACGAUCAGUAGCCGACCUGAGAGGGUGAUCGGCCACAUUGGGACUGAGACACGGCCCAAACUCCUACGGGAGGCAGCAGUGGGGAGUAUUGGACAAUGGGGGGAACCCUGAUCCAGCGACGCCGCGUGAGUGAAGAAGUAUUUCGGUAUGUAAAGCUCUAUCAGCAGGGAAGAAAAUGACGGUACCUGACUAAGAAGCCCGG
rnacentral:rRNA from 1 species